UCAUUUCUUCGGGGCAGGGUGAAAUUCCCGACCGACGGUGACAACAAGGUGUCGUUUGACAGCUUGUUGAAGUCCGUGACCCGCGCAAGCGGUUGAUGCAGUGUGAAUCUGCAACCGACAGUACAGUCUGGAUGGGAGAAGAAAUUG
rnacentral:ncRNA from 2 species